rnacentral:rRNA from 1 species
UGAACGCUAGCUACAGGCUUAACACAUGCAAGUCGAGGGGCAUCAGGAAGAAAGCUUGCUUUCUUUGCUGGCGACCGGCGCACGGGUGAGUAACACGUAUCCAACCUGCCCUUUACUCGGGGAUAGCCUUUCGAAAGAAAGAUUAAUACCCGAUGGCAUAAUGAUUCCGCAUGGUUUCAUUAUUAAAGGAUUCCGGUAAAGGAUGGGGAUGCGUUCCAUUAGGUUGUUGGUGAGGUAACGGCUCACCAAGCCUUCGAUGGAUAGGGGUUCUGAGAGGAAGGUCCCCCACAUUGGAACUGAGACACGGUCCAAACUCCUACGGGAGGCAGCAGUGAGGAAUAUUGGUCAAUGGGCGCUAGCCUGAACCAGCCAAGUAGCGUGAAGGAUGAAGGCUCUAUGGGUCGUAAACUUCUUUUAUAUAAGAAUAAAGUGCAGUAUGUAUACUGUUUUGUAUGUAUUAUAUGAAUAAGGAUCGGCUAACUCCGUGCCAGCAGCCGCGGUAAUACGGAGGAUCCGAGCGUUAUCCGGAUUUAUUGGGUUUAAAGGGAGCGUAGGUGGACUGGUAAGUCAGUUGUGAAAGUUUGCGGCUCAACCGUAAAAUUGCAGUUGAUACUGUCAGUCUUGAGUACAGUAGAGGUGGGCGGAAUUCGUGGUGUAGCGGUGAAAUGCUUAGAUAUCACGAAGAACUCCGAUUGCGAAGGCAGCUCACUGGACUGCAACUGACACUGAUGCUCGAAAGUGUGGGUAUCAAACAGGAUUAGAUACCCUGGUAGUCCACACAGUAAACGAUGAAUACUCGCUGUUUGCGAUAUACAGUAAGCGGCCAAGCGAAAGCAUUAAGUAUUCCACCUGGGGAGUACGCCGGCAACGGUGAAACUCAAAGGAAUUGACGGGGGCCCGCACAAGCGGAGGAACAUGUGGUUUAAUUCGAUGAUACGCGAGGAACCUUACCCGGGCUUAAAUUGCAGUGGAAUGAUGUGGAAACAUGUCAGUGAGCAAUCACCGCUGUGAAGGUGCUGCAUGGUUGUCGUCAGCUCGUGCCGUGAGGUGUCGGCUUAAGUGCCAUAACGAGCGCAACCCUUAUCUUUAGUUACUAACAGGUCAUGCUGAGGACUCUAGAGAGACUGCCGUCGUAAGAUGUGAGGAAGGUGGGGAUGACGUCAAAUCAGCACGGCCCUUACGUCCGGGGCUACACACGUGUUACAAUGGGGGGUACAGAAGGCAGCUAGCGGGUGACCGUAUGCUAAUCCCAAAAGCCUCUCUCAGUUCGGAUCGAAGUCUGCAACCCGACUUCGUGAAGCUGGAUUCGCUAGUAAUCGCGCAUCAGCCACGGCGCGGUGAAUACGUUCCCGGGCCUUGUACACACCGCCCGUCAAGCCAUGGGAGCCGGGGGUACCUGAAGUACGUAACCGCAAGGAUCGUCCUAGGGUAAAACUGGUGACUGGGG